GGCGUGCCUAAUACAUGCAAGUCGAACGAACUUCCGUUAAUUGAUUAUGAGGUGCUUGCACUGAAUGAGAUUUUAACACGAAGUGAGUGGCGGACGGGUGAGUAACACGUGGGUAACCUGCCCAGAAGCAGGGGAUAACACCUGGAAACAGAUGCUAAUACCGUAUAACAGAGAAAACCGCCUGGUUUUCUUUUAAAAGAUGGCUCUGCUAUCACUUCUGGAUGGACCCGCGGCGCAUUAGCUAGUUGGUGAGGUAACGGCUCACCAAGGCGAUGAUGCGUAGCCGACCUGAGAGGGUAAUCGGCCACANGCCCAGAAGCAGGGGAUAACACCUGGAAACAGAUGCUAAUACCGUAUAACAGAGAAAACCGCCUGGUUUUCUUUUAAAAGAUGGCUCUGCUAUCACUUCUGGAUGGACCCGCGGCGCAUUAGCUAGUUGGUGAGGUAACGGCUCACCAAGGCGAUGAUGCGUAGCCGACCUGAGAGGGUAAUCGGCCACAUUGGGACUGAGACACGGCCCAGACUCCUACGGGAGGCAGCAGUAGGGAAUCUUCCACAAUGGACGCAAGUCUGAUGGAGCAACGCCGCGUGAGUGAAGAAGGGUUUCGGCUCGUAAAGCUCUGUUGUUAAAGAAGAACGUGGGUGAGAGUAACUGUUCACCCAGUGACGGUAUUUAACCAGAAAGCCACGGCUAACUAC
rnacentral:rRNA from 1 species